UAGGGUUUAGGGUUUAGAGUUUAGGGUUUAGGGUUUACGGUUUAGGGUUUAGGGUUUACAGUUUAGGGUUUAGGGUUUAGAGUUGAGAAUUGAGGUUUUGGGGAUAAGAUUUCAAAUUUUGAAAAAUAAAAAAAAUUAAAAUUUUCAAAGGAUAAACUUAUAAAGGUGCUAUUUUGGUCAUUUUACUUUUUGAGUGCUAUUUUUGUUAUAUAAACUUAGAAAUGUGCUAUUUUGGAGAUUUGCCCUAUUUUUAUAUAUGUGAUAUUUAUAAAACUUUUAUGAAUUUAAGUUAAUUUGAUAAAUAUAAAGACUAUAAUAUAAAAUACAAAUAUUUUUGAAGUUAAAUUUGAAAUUUUGAUUUUGGAAACUGACAAUUUUAAACUUCAAAUAUAAAGUUUCGCAAAUUUCAAAAUAUAGUGUAUUUUUGGAGAUUUUCUUAUAAGAUGGUGGUGGCAUAUUGGUAACACAAAAAGAUUGGUUUUCCUGUGCUCUGGAU
rnacentral:lncRNA from 1 species